GUCAGGCACAGACUCCGGAGAGCAGGGCCGAGAGUCUCCGCUCGAUGCACAGCUUGCCUGCGGGAACAGGCUGUCGCUGCUGCCCGAGUCUGAGGCCUGUGUCCCAAAUGCAGCCUUGAGGAGCAGGUCAGUGAGGCGGCUGGUGCUGAAGGAUCUACGGGAGAGAUGCGGCACUUCAGAUGCUGGGCCUGGGCUCCCCAACGGCCCGACACCCCAUCUCAGCUCAUCUCCGGCGGCACGAGGCCAGCUCCAGGCCAGACUCCCCCAGAACCAUGGAGGGUGCAGAACAAGGCCUGGCAUGUGCCUCCUGCCUGCCCCACUCACCGCCCAAGGGGCCCUUGGUAUCCUCAGCCGGCCGUAGGCCGGAGCCCAGCUGCUGUCCCUGGAAGGGCCCUGCCUGCGAGAGGUCCGGCAGCGUCCGGUUCCGGGGGGGUGUCACCACCACGCCCUGCCGGGCUAGCAGAGCCAAGAGGUUCUGGGAGCUGGGGACCUUGGGGAAGUUGAAGGAGGACAGCAGGUGAUGCCCAGCCUGCUAUGGCCCCAUGUACACUGAGGCCCUCACCCACCUCGCCGGGGGUGGGCUGGGGGCCCCUGGAUGGGAAAUGGGGCUGUCCCCAGGGUGGCAGCCUGGCUUCCAAGGUGGCCUUCUGUGCCCAGCCUAGUCCACAACCUUGGGAAGGAUGCCACUGAGCAUGGGUGCAGGUUCCCUCAAAACGGGUGGUCUGAGGGCCUCAGCACAGAGAGGACCAGCCACGGGUCCCAUCCUGAGACCUUCGACACGGAGCUGGGCCCUAUGUCCCAGACCUCCCUCGCAGGGACUCCCAGGACACAGCCAUGCCUAGAGGUCCAGGCAGGAGGCCGAAAACAGGGGUCUGGUCUCCCUCCCCUGGAGCUGGGAGGCUGGGCUGAGUGUUACCUUGGUGGGGGAGCCCAGGAUGGGGGGCAGAGGGUUCCGCUGCAGGAAGUCAGGAAGCUUGGGUGAGCCUCGUAGGGGCCGGCAGGACUGCAGCACGGGGCCAGGUGGGGAAGGGCUGGGCUGCGGGGGGCUGAAGGUGGCUCCCAGCGGGUCUGUGGGGGGCUUGGGCAGCUUGGGGCAGACGACGUGCAGGUCCGACAGGUUGGGGCGCUGUGCAGGCGGCAGCCCAGCCCAGGAGUGCGGGCCGAGUGCUCGAGCACAGAGGAGCCUGGGAACAGGACAGGCUAAUUCCCAGGCUUAGGCACAGAGACGGGGCCACCACACCGCACUGCAAAGGGGUCUCGGGUCUCCAGGAGCCCUUUCCCCUCCCAGCCGCAACGAGGGGACACAGGCUGCACCUACCUGGCCGUGGUGACCUGCUACUCCGCACCUCGGCUCCCUGCGGGGAGGGUGCCCUGCUCCAGCUGGGCCUCUCGGGGAUGGUCCCAACUUGGGGAGCAGGUUCCAGGGUUAGAGCAGGCAGAUGCAGGGGUCUCUGCCCACCCAGCCCAGGCCCAAGGCUGCGCGCACCCUGUGGGGAUGGUGUGUAGGGCCGGCCUCCGCCCAGAGACAGCUUCCUGGCCAGGACAGCGGCAUCGGCAUGGGACGGAGGGGAUGGGCUCACCCGGGCAAAGCCCAGGGGGCUGGUGCCGCCCCACCUGCGGCUGGCAGAGGACCUGGGGACGGGCAAGCACAGUGUGAGGCCCCAGCACCUGUGCCACACCCGGCGGGGGCCACGGGUGCCUCAGGGUCCUCCCCACAGCGCCAGGCAUGGGAGAGGGCUGGCCGUGCCACGCCAGGGACACUCACCGGGGUGUGUGCUGCUGGGUGGGGGACUGCAGGUUCUGCUCAAUGCGCUGGUAGUUGUGCACCUGAGUGGGGACAGGGAUGGGGACCGAGGCGCCGUACCUGCUGCUGGAGAAGGUGCCAGCCCGGCUGCCGGGGAAGACAUGGGCUCACAGGACUGCCGGAGGCCAGAGGCACCCAGGGCCUGUUCUGUGCACACCCGCCCCGGUGUCCGCUCCCCACCCCAGGGAGCAGGCAGGGCCACCCACAUGUCUGCAUGAGGACAGCACCUCCGGCCAGACCAGCACUGCUAGGCAGGGUGGCCGCGCCCCAGGAUGCCCACCUGCCUACCCACUCGGCCCCACCCUCCUUACCCAGACGGGCUGGGUGAGCUACUGCAGGACGGGGAGGGGGACGGGGUCCGGCCAUGGCUCUCCAGCCCCGCAGAGGCCACCAGCGAGCUCCUGCAGGGCAGAGGUGACAGAUGGGGCAUCACGGUACCGGCCCAUCCUGGCCGCCUCCCCAGGCGGGGGGCACCAGCAACCCUGAAGCCCCGUUUCUCUCCCAAGAGGGCGGGUGCUCACCCACUGCAGAGCAGGCUGUCCAGCGGGGCUUGGCACUGGCCGCCUCGGCCACCAGGUCGCCUGCAGGGACAGAACAUCUGGCAGGUGUCUGCCGCCCUACAGAGCCCACCUCACCACAGAGCCCUCGAGCCGAGUCCCACUUCCUUUUCCUAGAGGGGCUCCCAAAUGGCUCUGGGGCAGUGCACAGCAGCACAGCACAGGCAGGGAGAGGUGGGCACACGUGGGCCCCAGCUCUCCCCUUGGACCGCCCUUCAUCGCCCCUCACCAGCUCCAGGGUGGCAGGGAGGCCAGCCUGGCCCCGUGAAGCCUGGUUCCCACCCACUGUGAGCUGUGGCAGGGCCAGACCUGCAGGCCAGGCUGGAGCAGGGAGGAGCAGGCCUCUGAGGACGGCAGGGUAGGGCAGAGGCCACAGCCACGGAGUGGGGCAGCCUGUGAUGACCCUGCCUGCCUGUGCCCAGCCACAAGUACAAGCCCCCGGAGGCCACUACACGCACCACUGCCCUGACCUGGGAACUGAGCAGGGACCAUGACGAGUCGUCUGUGUCACAGGAGUCCUUGCUGCUGCCUCCUGAGUCCCGGGAGCCAUGCAGGAAGCCAGCGGCAUCCGCCGGGGAGGCCAGGUGUGAGGUGGAGCUGCUGCUGGAGCUGCUGCCGGACCCUGAGCUCGGGUAGGAGGGCACAGGCACAGGCACAGGCGGGGCUGUGGGGGGCAAGGGCAGUCGGGGCACCGUCUCCCGCCCCGCGCAGGGGGCAGCGCUGCAGGGAGCCACUCCAGAUGGCCGUCCCAGGCCAGGUGCACUCGAGCGCGGCCCCACAGUGCCCCAACCGGGAGGGGCACCAGCAAGGACCUCACCCCGAGCCACGACCUUGGCCUGCACUGACCCUCACACCAUGGGGACAGGAGCCCGCGGCCAGCUUAGGUGACACCAGCCUGCAUGGACCUCCAGCCUCCACCCUGUACCGCGGCCACCCCCACCCAGCACAAGACCUGACCACAGACUGCAAGCAACAGCGCCUCUGACCCUCAGGACUCACACUUCUUGACGGAGGCGCUGGCAUCCAGGAAAGGGUGGUGGAAAAACUCAUCUGAGGGAGGGAGAGUCAGGCCUCAGGACACCCUGUACCCGGCCUGGGGACCCAUCUCAUCCAGCCGGACCCAC
ensembl:lncRNA